rnacentral:rRNA from 1 species
GACGAACGCUGGCGGCGUGCUUAACACAUGCAAGUCGAACGGUGAACCAGGGCUUGCCCUGGGGAUCAGUGGCGAACGGGUGAGUAACACGUGGGCAACCUGCCCCAGACUCUGGGAUAACUUCGGGAAACCGGAGCUAAUACCGGAUAUGAAUCGAGUUGGCAUCUUCUCGAUUGGAAAGUUUUUCGGUCUGGGAUGGGCCCGCGGCCUAUCAGCUUGUUGGUGGGGUAAUGGCCUACCAAGGCGACGACGGGUAGCCGGCCUGAGAGGGCGAACGGCCACACUGGGACUGAGACACGGCCCAGACUCCUACGGGAGGCAGCAGUGGGGAAUAUUGCGCAAUGGGCGAAAGCCUGACGCAGCGACGCCGCGUGAGGGACGACGGCCUUCGGGUUGUAAACCUCUUUCAGCAGGGAUGAAGCGAAAGUGACAGUACCUGCAGAAGAAGCACCGGCUAACUACGUGCCAACAGCCGCCGUAACAC